rnacentral:lncRNA from 1 species
UCGAGACAAGUUAGGCGAUCACUCUAUUCUCUUCCUAGCCUGAGUUUGAUAGGUCCGUUUUUUUAGGCUCUAAGUCACCCAUAUAGGGAGCGUUGGGCCGGUGACUCCCAAACCAGAUGGCUUUAGGGCACCAGGUGUAAGGACACCACUCAGGCUUAAUUACUCGAAUAACCUAUGCCACGAUUCGGAUCUGCUCAGGUUUAGC